rnacentral:rRNA from 1 species
GCAGUCGAGCGAAUGGAUUAAGAGCUUGCUCUUAUGAAGUUAGCGGCGGACGGGUGAGUAACACGUGGGUAACCUGCCCAUAAGACUGGGAUAACUCCGGGAAACCGGGGCUAAUACCGGAUAACAUUUUGAACCGCAUGGUUCGAAAUUGAAAGGCGGCUUCGGCUGUCACUUAUGGAUGGACCCGCGUCGCAUUAGCUAGUUGGUGAGGUAACGGCUCACCAAGGCAACGAUGCGUAGCCGACCUGAGAGGGUGAUCGGCCACACUGGGACUGAGACACGGCCCAGACUCCUACGGGAGGCAGCAGUAGGGAAUCUUCCGCAAUGGACGAAAGUCUGACGGAGCAACGCCGCGUGAGUGAUGAAGGCUUUCGGGUCGUAAAACUCUGUUGUUAGGGAAGAACAAGUGCUAGUUGAAUAAGCUGGCACCUUGACGGUACCUAACCAGAAAGCCACGGCUAACUACGUGCCAGCAGCCGCGGUAAUACGUAGGUGGCAAGCGUUAUCCGGAAUUAUUGGGCGUAAAGCGCGCGCAGGUGGUUUCUUAAGUCUGAUGUGAAAGCCCACGGCUCAACCGUGGAGGGUCAUUGGAAACUGGGAGACUUGAGUGCAGAAGAGGAAAGUGGAAUUCCAUGUGUAGCGGUGAAAUGCGUAGAGAUAUGGAGGAACACCAGUGGCGAAGGCGACUUUCUGGUCUGUAACUGACACUGAGGCGCGAAAGCGUGGGGAGCAAACAGGAUUAGAUAC